ensembl:miRNA Mir7024 microRNA 7024
AUGGGUUGGGGGGAUGGGUUGCUUGGCCCUAGGCACCUGCCCAGCAGUCCCUGCUCCCUACAG